rfam:Camelus ferus unplaced genomic scaffold scaffold1573, whole genome shotgun sequence.
GGGGGUAUAGCUCAGUGGUAGAGUGCAUGCCUGACAUGCAUAAGGUCCUGGGUUCAAUCGCCAGCACCUCCA